AUUCACUUCAGCAGCACAUGUGCUAACACUGGAGCAAUACAGUGAAGAUUAAAAUGGCCUCUGCUUAAGAAUGCCACUCAGAUUUCUAAAGCAUUCCAUUAAAAU